CAAAAAAUGAAUUAAUCAAAGUAACUGCUGAACAUAUCAUUUGGCUAUAUACCGUUAGUUGAGUAGCACGGAAACAAUGCAAACAAACCCUGACCUCUUUUUAGAAGGUUUGUGUGUUGUAGUUGUACAGGUGAAGCAAUCUGAAAUUAGUUUUAAGUGUAUGGUAGAGUUGAGUAAAUAAAUACGUUGAGGUAAUUGUUGAGCCUUCUUCCAUGUAUUCCAUACAGAUAUCGAAUGGGGCAAAGCAAGAAAAGAGGACUCUGUGGGAGUGCAUUGGAAUUAGAGGUAAGAAAAUGAUAUUUACACCUUGCAUGGAAUAGAGAAUUUACUAAAUGGAAAAAGACAACUCAUUGGAUAGCCUGCACACUCCCACAGACUGACCAAAACAUUAAUACCCUGCCUGCAGGUAAUGACCUGAUUCUCUUAAAAAAAGCUGCAAAUACCUGAUAUCUGUUCUGACCUCUGUAGUGUCAUAAGGAAGGCUGAAUGUAUUAAAUCUCUACCAAGCUGUCUGGUUUCCAAAACUGUUGUGAGAACCUAAGAAAGUAAGUUUUCCUACCACAGCAUCCAGAAAUUUAGAAUAUAGUUGACACUGAAUUUUCUGACUGUAUACAGUUGUCCCUUGAACAACAGGGGUUAGAACUGCACAGAUCCACUUACAUGCAGAUAUUUUUCACUACAAUUUACACUGAGUGUGCCUGACCCCUCUUGCCUCACUUUCACCUCCUCCACCUCUUCAGUCUCUACAACCUCCGAGACAGCAAGACCAACCCCUCCUCUUCCUCCUCUGCCAACUCAGUGUGAAGAUGAGGAUGAAGACCUUUAUGAUGAUCCACUUCCACUUAAGGAAUAGUAAAUAUAUCUCCUUUCUAUGAUUUUCUUAAUAACUUUUUCUCUAGCUUGAUUUAUUAGAAUACAGAAUGUAAUACAUGUAACAUACAGAAUAUGUGUGAAUUGACUGUUUAUGUUACAGGUAAGGCUUCUGAUCAACAGCAGGCUAUUAGCAGUUAAGUUUUAGGAAGUGAAAAGUUAUAUGCAUGUUUUGGACCACGCAGGAGUUGGUUCCCCAACCACUGUGUUGUUCAAGAGUCAACUGUAAUACUAGUGGUUCACUUGGACUGAGUAAUAAGAAAUCCCUCUCCCUCUCCCUCUCCCCCUCCCCCUCCCCCUCCCUCUCCCUCUCCCUUUCCCUCUCCCCACGGUCUCCCUCUCCCUCUCUUUCCACGGUCUCCCUCUGAUGCCGAGCGGAAGCUGGACUGUGCUGCCGCCAUCUCGGCUCACUGCAACCUCCCUGCCUGAUUCUCCUGCCUCAGCCUGCGGAGUGCCUGCGAUUGCAGGCGCGCGCCGCCACGCCUGACUGGUUUUCGUAUUUUUUUGGUGGAGACGGGGUUUCGCUGAGUCGGCCAGCCUGGUCUCCAGCUCCUGACCAUGAGUGAUCCGCCAGCCUCAGCCUCCUGAGGUGCCGGGAUUGCAGACGGAGUCUCGUUCACUCAGUGCUCAGUGGUGCCCAGGCUGGAGUGCAGUGGCGUGAUCUUGGCUCGCUACAACCUCCACCUCCCAGCCGCCUGCCUUGGCCUCCCAAAGUGCCGAGACUGCAGCCUCUGCCCGGCCGCCACCCCAUCUGGGAAGUGAGGAGCGUCUCUGCCUGGCCGCCCAUCAUCUGGGAUGUGAGGAGCCCCUCUGCCUGGCUGCCCACUCUGGAAAGUGAGGAGCGUCUCUGCCCGGCCGCCAUCCCAUCUAGGAAGUGAGGAGCGUCUCUGCCUGCCCGCCCAUCCUCUGAGAUGUGGGGAGCGCCUCUGCCCCAAUGCCCUGUCUGGGAUGUGAGGAGCACCUCUGCCCGGCCGCGACCCCGUCUGGGAGGUGAGGAGCGUCUCUGCCCGGCCGCCCCAUCUGAGAAGUGAGGAGACCCUACGCCCGGCAGCCGCCCCAUCUGAGAAGUGAGGAGCCCCUCCGCCCGGCAGCCGCCCCGUCCGGCCAGCCGCCCCGUCCGGGAGGGAGGUGGGGGGGUCAGCCCCCCGCCCGGCCAGCCGCCCCAUCCGGGAGGUGAGGGGCGCUUCUGCCCAGCCGCCCCUACUGGGAAGUGAGGAGCCCCUCUGCCCGGCCACCACCCCGUCUGGGAGGUGUACCCAAUGGCUCAUUGAGAACGGGCCAUGAUGACAAUGGUGGUUUUGUGGAAUAGAGGAGGGGGAAAGGUGGGGAAAAGAUUGAGAAAUCGGAUGGUUGCUGUGUCUGUGUAGAAAGAAGUAGACAUGGGAGACUUUUCACUUUGUUCUGUACUAAGAAAAAUUCUGCCUUGGGAUCCUGUUGAUCUAUGACCUUACCCCCAACCCUGUGCUCUCUGAAACAUGUGCUGUGUCCACUGAGGGUUAAAUGGAUUAAGGGUGGUGCAAGAUGUGCUUUAUUAAAUAGAUGCUUGAAGGCAGCACGCUCGUUAAGAGUCAUCACCACUCCCUAAUCUCAAGUACCCAGGGUCACAAACACUGCGGAGGGCCGCAGGGUCCUCUGCCUAGGAAAACCAGAGACCUUUGUUCACUUGUUUAUCUGCUGACCUUCCCUUCACUAUUGUCCUAUGACCCUGCCAAAUCCCCCUCUGUGAGAAACACCCAAGAAUGAUCAAUAAAAAAAUAAAUAAAUAAAAGAACUACUCAUGUAACCAAAUACCACCUGUACCCCCAAUAAUUUAUGGAAAAAUAAUAAUUAAAAAGUAAAAAAAUUAAAAAAAAAAGAAAUGUCCUAUGUUUUCACAGAUUAUAUAAUUUCAUAUUAAGGACAUAAAACAAUGCAGAGGACUCUCUCCCCAUACGAACUUUACUGUUCCCAGAAUGGAGCCCCUCUGGGCUCUUUUCUCUGGACUCUCUUCCCAGAUGCAGAGUGCUGCUCUCUAAGCCUUGGGAACAGAGAAACUUUGUUCAGUUCCUGCUGUCAACAUUGGGGCCACUUCCUCUGCGUAAUAUCCUUCAUUAGGACAAUCCUCUUUUAAAAGUGUUUUCUAUUUUGGUCUUUGAUUCUAACAAAUUAUACCUGACAUAGAUGGAACAGAUAUAUUCCCUGACUUUCAGAUUAUCAAACUGAGGUUCAGAAGGACUUGGUGACUGCCCCCAAAGUUCAACAGCUCUUAUGUACUAAAUCAUGGACAAGUAACUCCUGAUCCCUGCCUCAAAGGCUCAGUAUUCUUUCACUUAAAAAAAAAACAAACCAUAGGAAACCUGCAGGCAGCAGCAUCGCCUAUGAUUCAAAGGCAAAAUAAUGAAAUCUGUGAGGAUCAAUGUCGGGGCUCUCCCUUCCCAGGGAGGCUCCUGAAAUCCUUUCCCGGCAUCAUGUACUCUGAGGACUGGCCAUCUCAUCAACGACCUGCCCCCAUUCUCCUUUAGGUGCUCUGCCUCCCAGCAAUUCCAUGGCCUUGGAAGCUACCUUACCUCGAUUUGGGGUUGUCUGACUCUCAUCCCCCAAGACAUCUUCUUCUCCUCCAUAGGUACGGAUGGGUGAAGGUGCAUUGGAAUGCUUUUGAAUCAGGCUCUCCACACUUUCCCUAGGUUAGAGUGACAUAUCACAGGUUAACUAAAAUGUAAAGGACUCAGAGAUAGAGAGAGGUCUUAGAGGUAACUCACUAAUCAGUAAAACCAUUUUCUCAGCCAAAAAGCAACCACUGCACAGAAAGAUGAAAUUCAAAACAUGUACAUUUAUUCUGUUGUACAGUGACUCCUCAGAGACAUGACCUCAGGUGUAUGACUGCAAGCAAACAUCACUGACUAGGACAAGGACAAUCCCCUGAAAUACUUUAAAAUGAAGGACAAAGGGGUGAACAGGAGCUAUGAAACCUGACCACAGGAAUAUGGAAUUCCAUGAUGUGAAAAAUAAUGAGUGAAUGAAUUUACUGCAAGGAGCUGCAAUGACUCUUCUUACUGACUUCAUCAGCUAACAAAUACAAAACCAAUACUCAGUUGAUACAAAUUGCACUGAUCCAACAACCGAUGAAAUGUUGGCAAAAAGUUCAAAUUAUCUUUAGUCAGCGAAAGACUCUAAUAUUUACCAAGAAAUCAAACAAAUUCAUAGAUUAUAGUACAAUAUAGAUAGUUUGGAUAAUGAACACUAAGAUCCUUGUUGCUGUAAGACUGAAAAUUACAAAAAACCCAUGAAGAAAACACAAAUGACCAAUAAGGAGUUUUAGCCUCUAGGUAAAUUGGUAUAUUGUCUUGUAGAUGGUCUUCCUCCUGUAACAUAGUCUAUCAACCAAACAGUGAGGUUAACUUUAAAAAAUAAAAAAAAUAUUUUGGCAUUGGACAAUUUGACCUUCUGCUUUAAAAAAAAAAAAAAAAAGCCAGUACAAUUUUAGCCAAUUUGUUUGCCAAAAGUGCAUACUGAUAACAGAUUAGUCUGCAUGGUACACAUUUCUGGAACAGCUGUGGCCCAAAGACCAAUGCCAAAUUGACCAGCAAAGGACAAAAGAAGACUUAUAAAAUAUGUGUUAAAUGAGGAAGGACAAACAAAACACCACAUUUCAUAUUGAGGGAAUAAGCAAAGCAAAUAAAAUGUCAUAAUAACUUUUUAAAAUGUCAAUACUUGUCAACAUUUCACGUAAAUAUGCAAACUUUACCUGUGAAAAAUUACUACCUAAUUCAUAGUAAAUUUGGUGUUGUAGAAAGCUUAUAUACCCACAUAGAUGAACGCAUUUUAUAAUAUAUAGUAUGACUAUGACUAUGAGGACUUAAGGAUAUGCGUAAAAGGAAAAUUAACUCCGCAACUAUUUAAGUUACAUCUCUAUUCUCAAAUUGUUUUAGAGUAAGAAUAAAGUACCACCUCUUAUAGUCAAAAUAAUUAGGAUCCAGAUCCACUGCAAAAAGGUGUCAAAAAGAAUGAUGUCAUUCCGUAUGUAUAGAUAUGGAAUAAUUUUCAAGAUAUAGUAAGUGAAAAAAGUAAAAUACAGAAUGAUAUGUAAAGUAUGCUACCAUUUGUGAAGUUAGAACACAGGAUAUGUAUGUUCAUAUAUGCCUGCAUAUGCACAGGAUUUCUAGAAUGUUCCAGUUUCCAGAACAAGAAACUGCCUAGAAGAGGUUGCCUCUGCAGGGUGAAAUCAGGGACUUGAAGGAUUGGAGUAGUGAUUCUCACAUUUGUGUGUAUGUUUGAGUCAACUAGGGAUCUUGAAACAAACAAACAAAAAAAACUAUAUUGAGAUAUGAUUAAAAUACAAAAAGUGGCACAUAUUUAAAGUGUAUGGGGCCGGAGCCGGGCCAGUGGCUCACGCCUGUAAUCCCAGCACUUAGGGAGGCCCAGGCGGGUGGAUCACCCAAGGUCAGGAGUUCAAGACCAGCCUGGCCAACAUGGCAAAACCCUGUCUCUAUUAAAAAUACAAAAAUCAGCCGGGCAUGUUGGUAGGCACCUAUAAACCCAGCUACUCAGGAAGCUGAGGCAGGAGAAUUGCUUGAACCUGAAGGCAGAGGUUGCAGUGAGCCAAGAUCGUGCCACUUCACUCCAGCCUAGACAAAAGGGUGAAACUCCAUCUUAAAAAAAUAAAAAUAAAGUGUAUAGUUUGAUCAGUUUGGGCAUAUGUACGCACCAGUAACACCAUUGCCACAAGCACAAUAACAAAAAUACCUAACACCUACAAAAGCUAGCUUCCUCAAGCUCCUAUGCUCCAUGGUCCCCAUCGCAACAAACCUUUCCAAGGAAACCACUAAUAUAAUUUCUGUUCUUGCAGAUUAGUCCGCAUUUUCUAAACUUUUACAAAGAUGAAAUCUUACCUAAUAUAUUCUUUUUUAUCUGGCUUCUUUCACUCAGCGUAUUUUAAGAUUUAUCAUGUUGGGGCAUACAUUAAUAUUUCUUGCUCUGAGUAUCAUUAUAUUGCAUGGAUGUAUUAUGGUUUAUUCACUUAUUGAUGGAUAUUUGACUUGUUUCCAGUUUUUGAAUGUUAAAAUGAAGCUGCUACACAUAUUCAUGCAUACUUUUUAACAAAUGGACAUAUACUUUUAUUUAUCUUGGAAAGACAUCUAAGGAUGAAAUGACUAAAUUGCAUAUAUGUGCAAUUUUUAAAGAAACUGCCAAACUAUUUGUCAAAGUAGUCAUACAAUUUAGCAUUCCCACCAUCAGUGUAUGAGAAUUCCAGGUCCUCUGUACUCUCACUGACGCCUGAUAUGGUCAACGUUUAAUUUUAGCUAUUGUAAUAUGCAUGUGCUGGUAUUCCAUCAUACUUUUAAUUGUGUUCCCCUAAUGACUACAAUGUUGAACAUCUUUUUCUGUGCUUAUUUGCUUCCAUAUUUCUAGCUGUUAAUAUCUGUUUAUUUAAAAAAUUAGGUUAUUUGUUUUCUGAGUUUUGAGAUUUCUUUUUAUAUUCUGGGCACUGGUGUUUAUAGAAUAUAUGAUUUGCAAAUAUUUUCUUCUAGGCUGUGGCUUGUGUUUUCUCUCUCCUAAACAGUUUCUUUUUAAAAGCAGAGUUUUUAAUUUUGAUGAAGUGCAAUUUAUCCAUUUGUAAUUCUAUGGAUCAUGCUUUUGGUGCCAUAUUUUAAGAUCUUUGCCUAGCCCAAGACCACAAAAGUUUUCUCCUAGUCUUUUUCUGAAAGUGUUAUAGUGUGAGGUUUUAUGUUUGUGUCUAUGAUUCAUCUUGAGUUAAUUUUAUAUAUGAAUGAGUUAUGAAUUGUUUAUUUUUGUGCUUAUGAAUAUCCCAUUAUUCCAACAUUACUUGUUGAGAAGACUGUCCCUUCUCCAUCACAUACAUGUGGGUCUACUCUUGGACUCUUUAUUCUAUUGAUGUGUUUGUGGAACUUGACACCAAAACUAUACUGUCUUGAUUACUGUAGCUGAAUAAAAUUAUUAGAACUUUUGACAUUAGGUAGUAUUAGUACUCUAUCUUUUUUUCAAAGUUGUUUUGGCUAUUCUAGUUCUUUGCAUUUCCAUAUGAAAUUUAAUAUUACUUUGUCAAUCUCUACAAAAAAAGACUCCUGUGAUUUUGGUCAGGAUUAUUUUAGAUCUACAUAUCAAUUUGUGCAUAACUGACAUCUUAAUAUUGCAUCCUUCAAAUCAUGAACCAGUAUAUCCUUCCGUUUCAUUAGGUCUUCUUUAAUUUCUCUCAGCAAUGUUUUUGUAGUUUUAAGUAUAUAUGUCUUGCAUAUCCUUUCCAGAUUUAUCCCUACUUUGUAUUAUAGUAAAUAUUGCUUUUUAACUUCAAUUUCUGAUAUUCAUUUAUAAUAGAUAGAAAUACAAUUUAUUUUGUAUAUUGAUCUUGUAUUCUGUGAACUUGCCAAACACAUUUGUUCUAGUGGGUUUUGGAGAUUUGGGUUUUCUGUAUAGAUAAUCACGAUGCCUGUACACAAAGAUAGUUUUACUUCUGUCUUUUCA
rnacentral:lncRNA from 1 species